rnacentral:rRNA from 1 species
CUGGACUGAGCGAAGGAAGCGCCGAUUCCGACUACGCGUCCGACAAUAUUAUUAGGGUCGGUAGGGGGGGCGGGUCGACUCGGGUCGAGUUAGGGUCAGGCGCCUAGGUUGGCCUCGCGGUGGCAGGCUACUGGUACCCCCGCCUCGCGCUCCGGCCGCUCCUCCUCCUCAGCGCCGCGGGGGAAGAGGGUGGGAGAGGCAGCGGUCGCCGCCUCGUGGUCGUCGUCAUGGUCGUGGACCCCGCCUCGUCGAGCAGCCGCGACGCGCCCCCGCCCCCGCGCCUCCAGUCGCGGCGGCUCCAGUCGCGGCAGGAGAGGGGCAGGGGCAGCAGACGACGGUGAGGAGGCGUAUGCGUACGCGUUCCAAACCGCUAACAAGGAGUUCCCGGCAUGCCACCACUAAUGGUCGGAAGAGUCCCGCAGGGCUCCCUACAUGACCUACUCCACCUCUAAGCCGUAGACGAUUAACUUGUACAACCUGUAGCUACAACAACCCCUUCGGCCGGACCAGCGUGUACCUUUUAAUGUAGGUAGCUCCUGACGUUACAUAUACAACCUUGGAACCUUUGGAAAUAGCUCCUUUCUCUGUGGUAUAAUUUCUUCCUUGGGAUGUUACCACCCUUUUAUCUACCUUCUCUGUUCCCACGACAAGAACCACACACCCUUGAUCUAAACUCCAGGCUCAAAGGUUACGAGAAACAUGGUCUCUUUCUUCAUUACCAGUUCUAAGGAGUAAGUCUUCAAUGACUUUUUACGAAUCUAACGCUCCCAGCACCUCUCCGUGGUACAGGAUGAACGUUACGACCAGUCGUCGUGCCCAAAAUGUUCCGUUUAGUUUACUGAGCCACGUCACAUACAGUACCGUCCCCAAACGAGCGAGUGGUUCUACCUAGACUAAGUCAUACACCCUACACGUUACCAGUUCCUUACAACGGGACGUAUCGUACACGUAGGGCCCCGGAUCACUGUACGGUCUGUACAUUACCGACACCAAGGGAAGAACGUGUUUCGUGACGAGUACAAGCUACCUUCUGCGAAUGUCGCUCUUUUCAAUCACGUUGUUGUCCUCGACGAAGCCAGGGACUACUUCAAAAGGUGUCUCGCGUUCCCCACGUUGAUACGUUGUAUGUCCGUAUAGUUACGUGAGGACGAAAGAAACGGCUAAGUAUGGGUGAGUUGGUCAAGAGCAGCCUCUAACGGCGAUCGGCCGACGGUCAAGGUGGUAGGCGUUCUCAGUAAAGCCUCUCUGUGUAGUAGAGUCAGCACGGGCACUGGGCACAGUGUUACAGAGUGGCAUUUGCCAGAAAAUCGAAGAUGCAGCAGCCGAUACCGUCCCUACACAAGUAUGCCCUGAUAGGAAGCUUCAAAACGACCCCGGAAACGGCAACGAAGCUUACCAACCCCUUGAUCAAGUACACACUCGGCGGAACAAAACCACAGGUUACAAGUAUUAUAGUUUUGAACAUUGACGCCUCUCCGCCACACUAAAGACCACACAUUGUCAUUUCUACACGUUGCAAUAGACAUCACAAUGUCAUGUCUUCGAAGACAUACAUGUAAAACCCGAACACCUAGUACAUGUCGCCAUGACAUGGCUAACAAACUACACAUCCUUUAUUAAGUGUAAAACAAUACUCAUUAUUAUUACUCUAUAGGCUAUAGUUGAC